rnacentral:rRNA from 1 species
GACGGGUGAGUAAUGUCUGGGGAUCUGCCUGAUGGAGGGGGAUAACUACUGGAAACGGUAGCUAAUACCGCAUAACGUCGCAAGACCAAAGUGGGGGACCUUCGGGCCUCAUGCCAUCAGAUGAACCCAGAUGGGAUUAGCUAGUAGGUGAGGUAAUGGCUCACCUAGGCGACGAUCCCUAGCUGGUCUGAGAGGAUGACCAGCCACACUGGAACUGAGACACGGUCCAGACUCCUACGGGAGGCAGCAGUGGGGAAUAUUGCACAAUGGGCGCAAGCCUGAUGCAGCCAUGCCGCGUGUAUGAAGAAGGCCUUCGGGUUGUAAAGUACUUUCAGUAGGGAGGAAGGUGUGCGUGUUAAUAGCACGUGCAAUUGACGUUACCUACAGAAGAAGCACCGGCUAACUCCGUGCCAGCAGCCGCGGUAAUACGGAGGGUGCAAGCGUUAAUCGGAAUUACUGGGCGUAAAGCGCACGCAGGCGGUUUGUUAAGUUGGAUGUGAAAUCCCCGGGCUUAACCUGGGAACUGCAUCCAAGACUGGCAAGCUAGAGUCUCGUAGAGGGAGGUAGAAUUCCAGGUGUAGCGGUGAAAUGCGUAGAGAUCUGGAGGAAUACCGGUGGCGAA